CUACUCACCUAGAAGUGGAAAUACCAUGGUUAUGAAAGUGGUUUUCCUGUGGGGAGGCUCAUCAUCUGAACUUCAGGUGUGCUGACUCUUAUGUUUUCCCUAAAUAUGGGAAACUUGACUUUAUGAUUUAUGGCAGUGGGGAAUUGUGUUUGUCAUCUCCCCU